rnacentral:rRNA from 1 species
CGGAGGAAAAGAAACUAACAAGGAUUCCCCUAGUAGCGGCGAGCGAAGCGGGAAAAGCCCAAUAUGAAAAGCCUGCUUGCAGGCGUUGUAUUUGGAAGUCUCUGGGGUGUCAGUGCGUGUAAGUUGUAUGGAAAUACACGCCGUGGAGGGUGAGAGCCCCGUCCAACGCGCACAGGACACUCCGUACGAGGCUUUCCUAAUGAGUCGGGUAGCUUGGGAAUGCUGCUCUAAUUGGUGGUAAAUCUCAUCAAAGGCUAAAUAUUGACCGGAGACCGAUAGCGAACAAGUACCGUGAGGGAAAGAUGACAAGCACUUUGAAAAGAGGGUGAAAAGAGCCUGAAACCGUCAUGGGGGAAGCGGAUUGCGUUGUAUUGAUGGGUUGCUGUGUGUUCAGCCAUUUUGGUGUAUUGGCACGGUAGCUUAUCUGUCGUGGGUUUCGAAUGGCUGAUUUUGAGCUUUUCGGGGCUGAGGGCUCCCCGUAUGGGUGAGGACGACAGAGUGAUGACGCGAUACGACCCGUCUUGAAACACGGACCAAGGAGUCUAGCGCGGUUGCGAGUCGAAGGGUGCAAGCCUGAGGGCGUAGUGAAAGCGAGUUUAAAACGAACAGUUUGGGGCGGCAUAGGAUCGUUGAUUCUAAGUCUGACCUUGAGCAAUUGCGCUGGGACCCGAAAGAUGGUGAACUAUGCCGGAGUAGGGCAAAGCCAGAGGAAACUCUGGUGGAGGCUCGUAGCGGUGCUGACGUGCAAAUCGCUCGUCGAACUUGGGUAUAGGGGCGAAAGACUAAUCGAACCAUCUAGUAGCUGGUUCCCUCCGAAGUUUCUCUCAGGAUAGCGGGCCGACAUGUGUUGUUUUGUGCGGUAAAGCGAAUGAUUAGCGCACUCGGGGGCAGUUUGCCUUUGGGCGAUUCUCAAACUUUCAAUGCGCAAGGGUGCCGCUGCUUGGUUGAGCGGCACCGGCAAAAACGUCGGCCCUGUGGGCCACUUUUGGUAAGCAGAACUGGCGAUACGGGAUGAACCGUAAGCGUGGUUAAGGCGCCUAACUGCCCGCUUAGAGACCCCACAAAAGGUGUUGAUUCAUCGAGACAGCAGGACGGUGGCCAUGGAAGUCGGAAUCCGCUAAGGAGUGUGUAAAAACUCACCUGCCGAAUGAAUUAGCCCUGAAAAUGGAUGGCGCUGAAGCGGGCGGCCGACACCACGCCGUCUGGUAAAGAAUUAUGAUCAGAUGAGUAGGAGGGCGUGGCGGUUGUAUCGAAGGGUAUGUGCAGACAUGCCUGGAACGGCCGCUAGUGCAGAUCUUGGUGGUAGUAGCAAGUAUUCAAGCGAGAUCCUUGAAGGGCGAAGCGGGGAAGGGUUCCACGCGAACAUUGAUUGGGCGUGGGUGAGUCGUUCCUAAGUCGAGUGGCGAUUGCUAAGUAGCGGCGAAAGGGAAGCUGGUUGACAUUCCAGCACACGGAUGUGGAGGCGGUGACGCGUAUUGGGACGAACACGCUGGCGGUGGCGCUGGGCAGAGUUGUCUUUUCUGUUUGACUUUGCGCGCGCGGUGUGGAAUCCGCUUGUCGGGAGAAACACGCGUGUCGAGGCAGAGCGCCGGGGCUUUUCCGGCGUCCAGCUCGCCACCGACGGCCCUUGAAACUUUGUCUGCUUAAUAAAUCCACGCCGUGGCGUACCGAUCACCGCAUCAGGUCCCCAAGGUGAACAGCCUCUGCUCUAUAUGAACAAUGCAGGUAAGGGAAGUCGGCAAAUUAGACCCGUAACUUUGGGAUAAGGGUUGGCUCUAGUGCUGCGUGGGAGUGGUUGCCCACGGUUGGGGAAGUGGGCGAGGCCGGCUUGGCGCGGGGCCUUCGGGACUUGUGCCGGCUAGCUGAGCUGAUUUUCCUGCUUUGGGCGACGCCCACGGCAUGCAGCAGACUAGAACUGCAACGGGCAAAGGGAAUCCGACUGUUUAAUUAAAACAAAGCAUUGCGAGGGCCGUGGCCGGUGAUGACGCAAU